CGGGGGAGCCCUCAGUUCUCCUGACAGGACGUUUCUCCAGGUUCUAGGUCUAUCACUCCCCAAAGAUAGAAGAGGAGACCACGGCACAGUGUGCAGUAAAUGCGGGACUCAAAAGUGUUUGUAGAAAGUGAUUUAUUUAGAGAGAGAGAGAAAAAAAAAAAAAGAGAAAGAAAAAAAGA